UUUUUCUACGUCGGAAGCGACGGGCUCUUACAAGCAAACCACUGAUCUACUGCUUACAUUACCAAGUAGUCCCAAAUCGUGAUGUGACCUAUGCUGUACGUAAGAGUCGUCUUCUCUCCACUCGGUCCAUGGCUGCAGUUCGCCAGCUCUGCCAGUUCAAAAUUUUAAUUUUCGCAAUGAUAUGCCACAUGAUCGAUCCACCUAGCCAGCUGUGCACCCUUAUGACAUACCCAGCCCACCACAACCUGCCAAUCUCUUCGUUUUAGACGAUAGAUAGCUUUCCGAGCAGCUCCUGCAGUUCGUGAUUCAAUCGCCUUCUCUACGCUCCGUUUUUCAUCUGCAUACCACCGAAGACGAGCAUCAGCCACGAGAGACCAUCACCUUGCCUUAAACCUCUUUCGAAGGGGCUCGAGAAUGCCCCCGAUACUCGAACUACACACAUCACUCGAUUAAUCGUCGCUUUGACUAACUGCGUCAGUUUGUACAGAAAUCCGUGUUCGCGCAUAAUUUGCCAUAGCUGGUCUUGAUCGAUUGUAUCGUAUGCCGAUUUGAAAUCGAUGAAUAGGUGAUAUGUGGGUCAGGGUUGAUAUUUGUUGACACUCUUGAGUGAAAGUGGAAAAAGCAUCCAUAAACUUUUUUUUUUACAAUCCUUUCAGAGUUCUCCUUUCUCGCUUUUUGCAUGGAAGUGAACUGUCAAUACACCUCAUUAUAUUUCAUGCGAUGAAAGCAAGACAACAAAAUCAGUUUAUCAGUUAACGAAGAUUGUCAAGGCAUCGGUCAGUGUCAGUGAAAAAGUGUUUCGGUGAGGUUUAUUAUGGUUGAGUGGACUGUUUGUUUUUCUUUUUCGCUUUGAAGUGAGGAUUAUUUGAUUGGAUUUGUCGUCAAAUUUUAUUCCGUAACCGUGAACGAUGCGCGCGAUCUAUUUCAUCUGAGUAUACCAGCACGUUAAAAGGUCGAAAAUAUAGUGUAUCUGAAAGAGUGCUGCUAUCAUUGGAAGUGAAAAUUGAAAAUAAUUGGCUAUAAUUUUUGAAGAAUUUUGCUGGGGAAAAUGAUUUUUCUCAGCACUGAUGUGGGUACGUUGUAUUCGCGACAUUUCUGCAUAACCUGCCGAACCGUGAAUAUCUGUUCGUGGUGGCGCAGGCACCCAUGAAUCCCGUCAGGUAGUGCCCCACGAAAAGGGUGAUAGUCGACGGCAGAGUGUCUGAGAAUACCGGCGUUCAGCAAAGGGAUUGCCCGGUGAUACCAGUUCUUCAACUUGUCGCCCUUUUGUGGUUGGGAAAAAAAUACCUUCUAUCCACUCCACCGGUACUCGUUCCUUUUCCUAAAUCUUGGCAAUAACCCAAUGCACGGCUUUGGCCAGUUUUCUCCACCAUGAUUCAAUAGCUUGCUAGGAAAUUGGUCCACUCAAGCAGCCUUAUUGUUUUUCAACCGGCCAAACUCCUUCUCCAUCUCCAAGAGACGGGGACCAGAACCCUGUUUUGUUCUGUCUUUCGAUCACCUCACACUCGUCCGUCCAAACGACUGCACAUAUCGGCUUGUGGCACGUAGCUGUUCAGCUUCUUGUAGAACUUCCGAGUGGCGUUAGCUUGAUACAGCUCUUCCAUCACUACGUGACCUCGGUCCACUUGCUGGCCCUUCUUCCUUCGGAUGACUGUGUCUUGGCUAUUCCGUUUCCAUCGGUAUCGUUCCACGUUCGCUCUCAUACAAUGUUCACAGCAUUCUCGCCCAUGCUGCCUUGUUACCCUCGACUAACUGUUUGCAUUCGCCGUCAAACCAGUCGUUUCUAUGAUUGGGGCCACCACGGAUCUACUGAUUGCUAGGAUUAUCCACACUUAGAGACUAUCCAUUAAUUAAGCCACACAAUGUACGUUUGAGGUGCGAAACAAUUAGACAGAUAGUGGCACUUCAUCUUCAAUUUUCCUCAAGAUUCCCAAAGCCCUCGGUUGGACGGUUGGACCUUGCGGUUCACUUUUUGUCACAUCUGAUGAGGUGGAAUUUGAGUUGCUGAACUGCGGUGGCUUCCCAACUAUUUUCAUACACCAACUGGGACAGAAUGGCCCAUUAUGAUUUAAUUGGCCACGCCCUCCGUACGUUUGGGGGAUUUUCUUUUGCGUAUUUUCUUACUUAUCGUCUUUGUUAUGUAUGGUGCAGAUUUUCUACAGCUGCUUCUCCGUGUACUUCAGUCUGGAUUCUCGCUUGUUACCUUUCAGGUACUCCUCUUUCAGGAUUUUGACCACCGUGCUCACCGACAUGUCUAACUUCUAAGUCAGCUUCGUGGUCUUGGCACCCAAUAUGUUUUAGGUUGCAGCUUUCAAUUCCCUUCACUUGGCGGCGCCUAUCCAGCUCAGCCAUGUCCAAACCACACUCUGCACUGAGUGGCAUAUUUGAAACACAAAACGACACUCCCGUAGAAAGCUCUGUUUCGCGACCUUUAUCGUAAACAAAAUCAAACACACUGAGCAUGAAUAACACCCACAGAGAGGAAAACAAAACCACACUAGAGAGCCUGUACAUUAAGAGAGCCAACAAAGAACACAUUGUUAUGGUGAAUGUGACACCAAAACGAAUGCGCUGUAUGAUUGUAUGACAGUUACCACAUGGAUGGAAAAGAGCACUCACUCGAAUAAUCACUUCCGAUUUUUUAUCGCACAAAAUGACAAAAGGAAUAGGAUUCAUCCUUUUGUCAUUCGGGUUAUUCUCGUUGAAAGAGAUUUUGAAGGCUAUUCGCACCUACGUGAACACUCAUAUGUAAUUGUUAAAAUGUGCGUGAUGACAAAAGCAAAAAUAUUUCCUUCCUUCUUUAACGCAUGCAAAAACCAAACAAAUAUCAGCAACACCGUCAACGCGAAUUUAUCAACAGUGAUACGGCUGCUUAGUUACAGAUAUAAAAAAAGAAUCGUUAUUGAUCACUACAUGAGAAUCAACGCCGAAAAUUUUCGUUUUCUGGAAACGAUAAUUUUCUCACCGAUUUUUUUUGCUAGUUCAAAAUUUUAAUUUUGCAAUUUUCGCAAUGAUAUUCAACAAGUCUCCGGCAACAAUACCUAAUAUAUAUUUUUAUAUCUAGAAGACAAUACCCCAUAGAACAUCAAAUAUGUAUAUACACGAAGCUUUUUUAAAUCGGCGCCACCCGAAAUCAGUCGAUCGGUCAUUUAGCAUGGAAACGCUCAUGAGUGCACAUAUGAGCUACACUUUAUUAUCUUCUUGUCUACAUGUUUGCUGAUAAUUCACCCAUUUAUCUCCGGAGUAUUCACAAUCCAUUCACAGUGAGAUCAUCACAAGUAUUAAAUUCGUCACUUCAAGUGUAACGAUGAUUGAGCACGGACUGCAACACGACGUUUAAGGCCGUUAUCUCGGGAAGAGUUGUGCGGAUAACAAGAUCUUUACCUCAAGCAUUAUAAUGUCGAGUUCCAGUUUUUCCUCUUCAUCAGAAACGCUCUCCGAUGGCAAGAACAGCUGGCAGAGUUGGGUGAAUCGGAGAGGUCGAAAAUCAGUGUGCGUGCGUUGAUUGGCGCCAAAAGCAGUCAACCCGUUAGAAACGGGUACCUUUGUGGCCAUAACGCAAAACGAAGAUCCAAACGUGUACUUUCACUCUUUGACCGAAGAGCCUGCCAAACUCGAAGCGUAUCUGUGCGAGACAAAAAGAAUCGACUGGACUGCCAGUCCCGUGAUCUCGUGCAUUAGUGAUCAAAAUCUAGACAUAGUAGCGAAUGUGCUCCAGAAAGUCAACUGCAAAUAUCACCGUUUAUCCGGUUGUUCCCAUUACAGAAUAACUAAACAAGAUGCUAUUCAGUGUCAAUUCCAAGUUCCGGACGAUUUGGUGAUGAGACCCAUUGAGCCAAAGUAUGCAUCGUUGAUGGACCAGCGGUGGUAUCAUCGCUACCCAAAUUCUCAAAAGUACAUUGAGAUGUUGAUAAAAUUAAAUGGUGGAUACGGACUGUUCAGUAAGGAAAGCGAUGAUUUAGUCGGAUGGGUUCUGAAGAAUGAAUUCGGUGCAAUCGGACAUUUGCAGAUAAUGCCAGAAUACCGACAGCGUGGAUUGGGAAAGAUUCUAGCUAAGGCCAUUUCGAGUAAUAAAAUGAGUAAUAAUCAGCACAGUUAACGACUUACAUUCCAGUAGAGUCAUCAGUUUUCCACAGCUACAGUGUGCGGCUAGAAAUAACUGAAAAUUUUGGUAUUGAAGGAAACGAAAACGUUGAUCUGAUAGCGAAAAUGAAUGAACGCACAUAAUUUGAUUUUCACAAGUAUUAAUAGGCUGCAGAAAAACAAAAAUGUGAAUCAUGUAUAAAAAUGAAACGUUCCGUGAUUUCAUAGGGUCUUAAACUUCUUACUACUUACUCUUAAACUUAAGCAAAAAUUUCUAACAUUUUUCAGACUUAAUAACCCUUUGCUAUAAUGAACAAAAUAAAUCAAGAAUGAUCAGGCUGUUAAUAAAUGAAAAAAAAAAAAACUAACUUUAGACAGGGAAAAAUUGUAGUUACAGGAGAGUCAUGUCAUGGCCAAAGCGAUGAUGGAUCGAGUGAUGUGUGUAGUUCGAGUAUCGGGUGCAAUCUCUUCGAGUAUUGGCAAUCUCUCGUGCCUACUGGGUAAUAUUGCCCCGGAAGGUGUGAUUAGGAAAGCCAAGAGAUGACCAUUUACAGGAAACUGAUCAGACCUUCACACCUUCACAACCAUAGGCCAUGUGACAUGGACUAUGGUUGUGAAGAACCAACACGCAAGGUGGAUCAAUAAGAUGACGAACUGCAGCCAUAGACUCUUACGUACAGCAAAGGCCACACCACGACUUGGGACUGUUUGGCGAGUAAGAAGAGUUAUGAAUUUAAAAGAGUCGAACCUGAAAUUUUACACGAAAUACAAUUUAGCUUUAUACGUGCAGCUUUGCUUACGAUUGGCUCUAGUUUAGGUAAACAUAUAUAUGAAUAAUGUUAAGCAGAUUGAAUAACUCCGUGCCCAACACUUCCGACUUUUUUCGAUUUUUUUUUUUGUAUACUGUAGAAACCAUUGUUUUAUAAAGCUGAAACAAACAAAAACUAAAUAAAAAUAAUCACAUCGCCCAGCACAUUGGGGUACAAAAUUA